CUUCUACUCCCUCCGUCCGAAAAUACUUGUCAUCAAAAUGGAUAAAAAGAGAUGUAUCUAAAACUAAAAUACGUCUAGAUACAUUUCCUUUUAUCCAUUUUGAUGACAAGUAUUUCCGGACGGAGGGAGUAUUUG
rnacentral:pre_miRNA from 1 species